rnacentral:rRNA from 1 species
GACGAACCGUGCGAACGUUAUUCGGAAUCACUGGGCUUAAAGCGCGUGUAGGCGGGACGGCACGUCGGUCGCUGAAAUCCCCCGCUCAACCGGGGAACGGGCGCCGAUACGACCGUCCUGGAGGGACGUAGGGGGACCUGGAACUUCCGGUGGAGCGGUGAAAUGCGUUGAGAUCGGAAGGAACGCCCGUGGCGAAAGCGAGGUCCUGGACGUUUUCUGACGCUGAGACGCGAAAGCCAGGGGAGCGAACGGG